GUGAAUCAUCGAAUUUUUGAACGCAAAUUGCACUCUCUUCGGAGAGUAUGCCUGUUUGAGGGUCAGCCUAAAAAAAAUGGAAAUCGUUGCUGUUUCGCGGUGGCUUUCGUCGGAAAUUGGGUUAUCUUAAAUCUUUGGUUUAAGCGACUUAAAAUUUUCUUUACGAUUCCUUGACCUUUUCCAGGAUUUAUUUCUUUACACGUUUAGGUUAUGGAUUUUUUUAGGCGUGGUGGCAAUAUC
rnacentral:misc_RNA from 1 species